GUGAGAAUUGAAUCUGAUUUUUUAAUAGGUCCAAAUGGCCCAAGAGAGAUUUGAUGUGGGCUGGAUCCAAAAAUAAUGACCCAAUAUAGAUGUGUUAUUAAUAUUACUUAAUUGCUCUUAAUGAAAUAUGCAAAGUUAGUAAAGGAAAUGACAAGGUAAGGUAAUUAUGACAAUAGAAUCCUGCUUUAAUAGUAUAGAUGUAUACACUUUGACGGUCUAAAUAAAUAUAUACUCCUAAAUACACAAACACAUAUUAAGAAAACAAAGACAGGCGAAAACAAAGUUGACAAUCAAAUGAUAUUUAAAUAGGAACUGCUUAACAGCUAAAGGUUGUACACACCUUGAAGGCUUAAAUGUGUGCACGUUUUAGUUAGUGGCCAGCAUUUAAUACUAUUCAUCGUUAUCAUUAUCCAUCAAACCUAAUAAAAAGUCAAAAGGAUUUUCAGUAUAAAUAGAACCUAGUAUUCACAUGUAAAUUUGUGCAGACAAGAAUAAAACAAGUCAACUUCAAAGUAGCAGAAGUAAGAAAAGAGAAAGAGACAAAAUGGCGAAGAGUUUGUGCAUCGUUACUCUUUUGAUGAUUUUUCUAUUGAUCUCCACAGGGAUACCGAAAGGAGAAGCUCAAUGUAUGGGAGAACGAAGCUUCACAUCACCCCCAGGGAUCUGCAGUCAACAGAUUGGAAGCACUGUUUGCAACAAUGCUUGCAUUACUGAAGAAUAUUUCCGCGGCCAAUGUGAAACUCAAGGCGCAAGAACAAUUUGUAAUUGUUACGAUUGCCCACCUAAUUAAACCUACGGCUUGUGCUGCUUGGAGAAAAAAAUCUGAUCGAUCAGUUGUUGAACUUAUAUUGAUCUUUGUGUUUGAAUUUCUCUAUGUGUGUGUGUGUGUUUUAAUGUUUUGUUGUAUGGUUUGGAAUAAUCGGUUAUAUAGCCGUUCGUUUUGCUUAUUUGUUGUUAAAACUGUGGACUAUUGAGUUGGUUUGAAAAAUUAUAUUACAUUUGUUUUAAAUA